GCAGCUUUAGCUCACUUGGGAGAGCGCCAGACUGAAGUCCAACUUUGGUUACAAGCCUGUGCGGUAUCUGGAGGUACUGUGUUCGAUCCACAGAAGCUGCA
rnacentral:tRNA from 1 species